AGAAUACCAUGCAUUUAGCACUUCCGAUAGAUCCGUCUCCAAGCCGCCAGUUUUCUCUGCAGCAACAGGGUUCAUCAUCUCUAUUUGUUUUCCUUCCUUUGCAAAUGAAUUCAGUGAAGCCGUGUUAGAAGCUUGCUUUAAAGAGGAGAGUGCUUUUUCUGCAGCUUCUUUUGCUGUAUCAACCAAACUAGGGUUUUGAGGAGAUGAUUUUUUUUCUUGAACACAUCGUAUAGACGCAUCGCAUGGUUUGUCAUCCUCAUUUACACCCAAACAACAAGGUGAUGCAGUGCAAGGAGAUACCCAACUUUGGCAUCCAUAUGGGCAGUAGAAAGAAGACUCUGUUGGAUUUAAAUUAUGUGAUGCAUAAGCUUGAUGUUCUU
rnacentral:misc_RNA from 1 species